UCUAGAAACAAUAAAAUUGCAAAAAUUUCUUUUUCUUAUUUUUGAUGAAUUUGUAUCAGCUGCGUUCCAUUUUAUUAUACCGUAGUUAAUUCCUUCGGUUUCGAAUUCGUUACAAAGUGUCUCUCGACUAAUUAUAAUCUUAUCAUCCCUAGACGUCUUCUCUUAAUUAGUGAUGCAAAGCGAGACGAAUGAAUUCUAUCGUAUUUAUUUUUAUAUAAUUGAAGGAUGAAUGUAUAAAUGGCAGCACAUUUUUGAUAAUUUUUUGAUAAACUGCGCGAAAUCUUGUUUAAAAGUUGUAGCUAAGUAGUUUUUAAAAAUACACGUUAUAUCAAUGUUUUUAUAUCUACUUUAUUUCAUUUAAUGUAUUAUAUAUUAUACAAUAUUCGUAUAAUAUGUAAUAUAUACAAUUAUGUCGUAAUAAAGAAUUAUUAUUGAAUCAUUCAAUUGCACUAAUUAUAAUUAACAAGUUGUUAAUGAAUAAUUUAGUGAAUUGUUUCGCUAGUGUAUCUAAAUAGAAUUUUCUUUCAGCUAAUUAUAUCUCAGGUUGAUAUUGUUACAUACGAUCGAUAAUCCGAAUCAAUAAUAACGUAAAAGAGACUGAAGUUAAAAGAAGCAAUAAAUAAAAGUUUGCUGUUCAAUCUAUACGAUUAAUUAGGAAGAAAUCGAGUACGCUUGUUCGAUAGUUCAAUUAAUAUCGACUACAAAGAAGCGAGCAUUCGAGUUAUCAAUCAUCGAUGAAUACUGUGCAAAAAAGACAUUAUCAACAAAUGUAAAUUUUUCCGUCAUAUUAAUAUUUAAAAUACUGUUACUAGAGAAUAUAUUUCACUAUAUAAGUUACAAAGUUAUCGUAUCGGCAAGAUAUUACAAAAAUAACAUAAAAAAUAUAAUACAUUAAUUUAAAAACAUAGCUGUUCGAUAAAAUUGAAAUUGCGUGCGCAGAAGCGUACAGGAAAUUUCGAUAAACGUUAUAGAAUACCGAUCAACAAUCGAAUUGAUCCGAUAUUUAAAAAGUUAUCAGUGCAAAAUUCGCGUAACAAGCCUUAACACCGUAAACGUGAGCAAACAGUUGUACUACGUCUGUGGUUUCAUCAAGGUUUUUAUUAACCUCCUUGAAGUUUGUGAAUUUAACUCUGCAACGUAUCGAUCGAUCGUUUACGAUCUGAAAUUUCAACUUACCUUUUGCCGUACUGCUGCUCUAAUGUGCCUGUAACGAGGCAACGAUCGAAGAUCGGAACUGUCAAAUGUCCAAGGAAGGAAUAACUAAAAUGUCAGUUGAAACGAAGAGGUAUAUGAGAGGGCUGAUUAAGCCGGUACGCGAAUCCAUGAAUAAUCUUCAGUCGAUUGCCGCGUGAUGGCUGCGUGUUCCAGCAGCGGAACGAUGCCAUUCCAGUGCAGGUUCCAACGAUACCGGUCAGAGGAUGAAAACAUUGCACUUUGUAUUCUAGCGGUCGUUAGUCGCGUGAACACAUGCAUACACAGCAUGGAAUACAUAGAGCUUGUUACAAUGUUUGUCAGCGAACGUACUAGGAGAUAGUAACGCUGAAAAUGGUACAAUCUUGAGGAAAAAACAUGAUAAAUAAUCAGAUUAUUUCUAGAAUCCUACGAGAAACGAUUAAUUAAUGUAAAACUAUUUUGGUACUUCGAUUAAAUUCUUGUCAAGCAAUUUAGGUAGGAAGAUACACAUAUGUACGUAUACAGUACGUAUGUAUAGUCUCUGAAAAUAAAUACUUACAUAGGUACCACUUAAAAUAGUAUCUAAAUUAUGAAGCUGUUAACCAAAGGAGGACGAGUUAACAAGUUGAUAUAUUAUGUAAAACGCGAUUGAGUAAUUAUUAGCAUACAUAUUUGUAGUAGACAUAAAUUCAUGAGUUAACUCAUCCUUACACAUCAACAAUUGUUUGAAAUAUAAGGAAGACAUGCACGAUGCAUCUUUUAUUACUGAAUAGCUUUAAUGAUAUGCCUAAGUGUUCUCCGUGAAACUAAAAUUUCCAUUGAAGCGGACGUAUAAUUCCGAUGAAUCCAGGGAGUGUUGCAAACGGACGAAAGUCCCACCGACCAUAAAAUAUGCAGUCACGGUCGAUGAAGACCUCAUCCGGACACACCACUCUUGAUCAGAUACCAUGUAUUUGAACUUCAACUUGAAUUCUGAAACUUUUCGCAAAAAUAAUGCAGGAUGUCUGAAAAAAUAAAGGUGAUCAUUACUAUA